rnacentral:rRNA from 1 species
AGUGAACGCUGGCGGUAGGCCUAACACAUGCAAGUCGAACGGCAGCACAGUAAGAGCUUGCUCUUACGGGUGGCGAGUGGCGGACGGGUGAGGAAUACAUCGGAAUCUACUUUUUCGUGGGGGAUAACGUAGGGAAACUUACGCUAAUACCGCAUACGACCUACGGGUGAAAGCAGGGGAUCUUCGGACCUUGCGCGAUUGAAUGAGCCGAUGUCGGAUUAGCUAGUUGGCGGGGUAAAGGCCCACCCAGGCGACGAUCCGUAGCUGGUCUGAGAGGAUGAUCAGCCACACUGGAACUGAGACACGGUCCAGACUCCUACGGGAGGCAGCAGUGGGGAAUAUUGGACAAUGGGCGCAAGCCUGAUCCAGCCAUACCGCGUGGGUGAAGAAGGCCUUCGGGUUGUAAAGCCCUUUUGUUGGGAAAGAAAAGCAGCAGGUUAAUACCCCGCUGUUCUGACGGUACCCAAAGAAUAAGCACCGGCUAACUGCGU